AACAUAUCACGAAAUAUCAUUUUGAGGAAUUCUAACAGAAGUUUCUAUUGGUAGUGUAAGUUGGACAAAGUGUCUUAUUUUUUAAAGUAUUUAAAAGUAAAAUUACAUGUUAAUACGUAGUAUUAAUGGCGAGACUCCUGAGGGAGCAGUGCCAGUCGAAGACCGAGGCUGAGACGGCACCCUAGGAAAGCGAAGCCAUUCAAUACGAAGUAUUGUAUAAAUAUAGAACAGCAG
rnacentral:ncRNA from 1 species